rnacentral:misc_RNA from 1 species
UUUACCCUGGGAGCAUACGAAGCACCAAUAUGCGUCCCGGUCUCCGGCGGUCGGAUGUUGAUGUGAGCCCCCCCAACGUCAGCACGGUGAUGUGCGACGCGAGUGAGCCUUUCUACUUUUUGGCGGAGACCCCUUUUCGCCAGCAAGUGUCUCGGUGUCUCCGUGAAGCAUCGAAGAGUAGCUACAGCCCUCUUCGGCGAGCUGAACGGGCUGCCGAGCUUUCGAAGGCCGAUCUCCCGCAGCGCUGGCACCCGGAGAACCGCGCCAUGGCGCUCGCUGGGAAUCCACCGGCUGCCGGGCUACUGAAAGGACCC